rnacentral:rRNA from 1 species
GAUGAACGCUGGCGGCGUGCCUAAUACAUGCAAGUAGAACGCUGAAGGAGGAGCUUGCUUCUCUGGAUGAGUUGCGAACGGGUGAGUAACGCGUAGGUAACCUGCCUGGUAGCGGGGGAUAACUAUUGGAAACGAUAGCUAAUACCGCAUAAGAGCAGUUGUUGCAUGACAGCUGUUUAAAAGGUGCAAUUGCACCACUACCAGAUGGACCUGCGUUGUAUUAGCUAGUUGGUGAGGUAACGGCUCACCAAGGCGACGAUACAUAGCCGACCUGAGAGGGUGAUCGGCCACACUGGGACUGAGACACGGCCCAGACUCCUACGGGAGGCAGCAGUAGGGAAUCUUCGGCAAUGGGGGGAACCCUGACCGAGCAACGCCGCGUGAGUGAAGAAGGUUUUCGGAUCGUAAAGCUCUGUUGUUAAGGAAGAACGUGUGUGAGAGUGGAAAGUUCACACAGUGACGGUACUUAACCAGAAAGGGACGGCUAACUACGUGCCAGCAGCCGCGGUAAUACGUAGGUCCCGAGCGUUGUCCGGAUUUAUUGGGCGUAAAGCGAGCGCAGGCGGUUAGAUAAGUCUGAAGUGAAAGGCAGUGGCUCAACCAUUGUAGGCUUUGGAAACUGUUUAACUUGAGUGCAGAAGGGGAGAGUGGAAUUCCAUGUGUAGCGGUGAAAUGCGUAGAUAUAUGGAGGAACACCGGUGGCGAAAGCGGCUCUCUGGUCUGUAACUGACGCUGAGGCUCGAAAGCGUGGGGAGCGAACAGG